AUGGGCGACACUUGUUAUUCCCUUUAUUUAAUGCCACCUGUUUUCUGUUUUUGGAUAUAUAGGACAAAGAUUUUCCGUUGACUGAUUGAAAUUCUACAAACCCCACGCCGAAACCGAGCCGCAGCUAGAGAUACAGAUAGCUAGAGCGAUGGCGGAAACGAACACCAACUCGUCCAUCAUACUUCACAAUGCCGUAAUUGUCACCAUGGAUCCUCAAAGCCGAGUCUUUCGCAACGGUGGGAUCUUCAUCCAACACGAUACAAUCAAAGCCAUCGGUCAAUCUUCCGAUAUUCUUCGCGAUUUCUCUUCUCUCGCUCCCCAAAUCAUCGACCUCCACGCCCAAAUCUUACUCCCAGGAUUCAUCAACACGCAUGUUCACACCUCUCAGCAACUAGGAAGAGGGAUAGCGGAUGACGUUGACUUGAUGACAUGGUUGCACGGCCGCAUUUGGCCGUACGAGUCCAACAUGACCGAGGAAGAUUCUUAUAUUUCCACUCUACUGUGCGGCAUCGAACUCAUUCACUCCGGUGUAACUUGCUUUGCUGAAGCAGGGGGGCAGCACGUAUCUGGAAUGGCGAGGGCGGUGGAGUUAUUGGGCUUGCGUGCGUGUUUGGUCCAAUCAACCAUGGAUUCCGGUGAGGGUUUGCCGGCGUUGUGGACGACCAGAACCACUGAUGAUUGUAUUCAGUCUCAAAAGGAGCUCUACAAGAAGCAUCAUAAUACAGCAGAUGGACGAAUCAGAGUGUGGUUUGGAAUUAGACAAAUCAUGAAUUCAACUGAUCGCUUGCUACUUGAAACAAGAGACGCCACGAGAGAACUGAAAACUGGAAUCCAUAUGCAUGUUGCAGAGAUACCCCAUGAGAAUCAACUCGUGAUGGAUACUCGAAAGGUUGAUCAUGGGACGGUUACAUACUUGGAGAAGAUUGGGUUUCUCCAAAACAAUUUGCUUUCAGCUCAUACGGUUUGGGUCAACAGUACUGAGAUUGGUUUUCUUUCUAGCACUGGAGUCAAAGUAUCUCAUUGUCCUGCCUCUGCAAUGCGCAUGCUUGGAUUUGCACCUAUUAGGGAGAUGCUUGAUGCUGGCAUUUGUGUCUCCUUGGGAACAGAUGGCGCACCAUCAAAUAACAGAAUGAGCAUUGUUGAUGAGAUGUACCUGGCUUCUCUUAUUAACAAAGGACGGGAAGUUCAUAGAAUCGGAACCACCGAUCCCACCGCUCUCCCUGCCGAAACAGUUCUCAGAAUGGCGACAAUAAAUGGUGCAAAAUCAGUACUCUGGGAUAAUGAAAUAGGGUCACUUGAGGCUGGGAAAAAGGUAGAAAGAGUUCCUUAUACUGGAUCACCAUGCAGGCUGACUUGGUUGUCGUCAAUCCUUCCCUUUGGCCUAUGGUUCCUGUCCAUGACUGCAUUUCCAGCCUUGUGUAUUGCAUGCGAACUGAAAACGUGGUCUCUGUAAUGUGCAAUGGCCAGUGGAUCAUGAAGGAUAAGAAGAUUUUGCGUGUAAAUGAGGAAGAUGUUAUUUUGGAGGCAGGGGGAGCUGCUAGCGAUCUAUUGAAGAGGGCAGGAAUUAUAAUUCCCAGCAUAAUGAACAUCCUAUGAUUAUUCAAACGGGCUUGUGGUCGCUGUACUUGCUGCAAAGCAUUUGGCAUUGUAAGCAGGUUUGAUAACUAUCAUCGUCUCAGCAGCUCUAGCAGUUUUAAGACGAUCACGCUCUUUCUCAGCAAUUUUCUCAUCUGUUUUUUUGGUCUCCUCCCUUUGAUAUCUUCAAACUUUGAGCGAAGCUUGUGUAACUGUGUUUCAUGUUUCCGUAUGUAACCGGUAUUGGUGGGAAAUCGGAAUGCUAUCAAAACUGGGCCGACUUUGCAACUUAUUGAAUUUUAUUUGGGCUUUUGGCCCGUUAGAGUAA